UGCCGAUGGCAGAUGAUCGCUGGUGAAUCGCAAGAUUCGCCAGAGGAAAGUCCGAACACCAUACGGCAGCAUGCCGCGUAAAAGACGCGGGCGCCGCGGCCCCGAAAGUGUUCGGGGUUGCGGUGACGGAAAGUGUCACAGAAAAGACACCGCCGGUUCUUUGCAAUACAAGGCACAGGCAAGGUUGAAAAGGCGAGGUAAGAGCUCACCGCUCGCGGAGUAAUUCGCGAGGCAGGAAAAACCCCAUGCGGUGCAAGACAAAACAGAGGGAGGACAGCCCGUCCGUACACCCCGAAGUCGGGGUUGAUCCUCGGGUAUCGUCGCAUCACGGCGAAUGAAAAUUCGCCGGACGUCCAGCCCCAGUUUUGCGAGUGAAGAUGUCGAUCUUGGCACCUCGCCAGCAAAACUGGAGCUGGAUGAGAUAAAUGAUCAUCGUCCAGCCCCAGUUUUUCUGAAAAACAGUCGAGCUGAUUGGAGCUCGCCAGAAAAACUGGGGCUGGAACAGAAUUCGGCUUAUCGCCGUCAAAUA
rnacentral:RNase_P_RNA from 1 species